UAUUAGACCUUUGUCAGAUGCAUAGUUUGCAAAGAUUUUCUCCCAUUCUGAGCUGGGAAUCCCAAGUGCAAAAUUGCAAUUGUUUUGGGAAGAACUCAAAAUACUUCUCUCUCCAGGUAAUUAAACAAUUCUGAUUGAGAAACCUGUGUAGGAAUGAGCCAGUCUUCCUCCUAUCUAGGUAAUUUACUUAAAAUUCACUGUUUGGACUCACAAAUCAUAAUGUAAGAUAUGAGAGUAAAUGUCAUAUAUUUGUAUUUCACAAGUAUUUUCUAACAGGUGUUUUUGGAAAACAUUAUAGGGAGUAUUGCUGAACAUUCUUCGCUGUGGAAUUUUCAGUAUUAGAAAGUGUUGCUAAAUUAUCAAAGCUGUUUGGAUUAAAUUAUCAGACAAAUUUUUUCAGACCUGUGUAAUGAAGUGAUUAGAUGUUUA
rnacentral:lncRNA from 10 species